rnacentral:rRNA from 1 species
UCUUUAGGGUUCAAGCGUUAAUCGGAAUUACUGGGCGUAAAGCGCACGCAGGCGGUCUGUCAAGUCGGAUGUGAAAUCCCCGGGCUUAACCUGGGAACUGCAUUCGAAACUGGCAGGCUAGAGUCUUGUAGAGGGGGGUAGAAUUCCAGGUGUAGCGGUGAAAUGCGUAGAGAUCUGGAGGAAUACCGGUGGCGAAGGCGGCCCCCUGGACAGAGACUGACGCUCAGGUGCGAAAGCGUGGGAAGCAAACAGG